rnacentral:rRNA from 1 species
UAGGGAAUAUUAGAAAUGGACGAAAGUCUGAUCUAGCAACACCGCGUGUGCGAAGAAGGCCUUUGGGUCGUAAAGCACUUUCUGGAAGGAAUAGGAAGGAAUGUACUUCCAGAAUAAGUCUCGGCUAACUACGUGCCAGCAGCCGCGGCAACACGUAGGAGGCAAACGUUAUCCGGAUUUACUGGGCGUAAAGCGCGUGUAGGUGGUACUGUAAGUAGGGCGUGAAAGCUCCUGGCUCAACUGGGAGAGGCCGUUCUAAACUACAGAACUAGAGGAUGGUAGAGGGAGGUGGAAUUCCAGGUGUAGCGGUGGAAUGCGCAGAUAUCUGGAGGAACACCGGUGGCGAAGGCGGCCUCCUGGACCAUUCCUGACACUCAGACGCGAAAGCUAGGGUAGCAAACGG